UGGCGAUCUGUAUGACCAGCCCAG
rnacentral:piRNA from 1 species